GGCCGGUUGGCACAGAUGGUUAGCGCGUGGUGCUAAUACGUUACGUAAUACGCCAAGGUCGUCGGUUCGAGCCCGGCACUGGCCA